AUAUUUGAGAGUUUGAUCCUGGCUCAGGAUGAACGCUGGCGGCGUGCCUAACACAUGCAAGUCGAGCGAUCUCUUCGGAGAGAGCGGCGGACGGGUGAGUAACGCGUGGGUAACCUGCCCUGUACACACGGAUAACAUACCGAAAGGUAUACUAAUACGGGAUAACAUACGAAA
rnacentral:rRNA from 1 species